UUCAACCUUCAACAACAACAAAACCCUAUGUUGAACCCUAGAUAAGUUACACCCUAAGCCGCCGCCGCGAGAUCAACACUCACUGCCAUAGCCGCCGAUUCCAGCCGCCAGUCAUCUUCAGCAUCUCUAGCCGUCUCUCCGGCCGUCACGCCGGAAUUCAACCACCUCCAUACACAAACAACCAACAACAGCCGCAUCAACACCCUCACCGCUAAGCAGCCAUCUUCAUCAACAAGAUAACUCACUCCAGCGCCCUUCUUCAUCUUCUUCACACAAUCAAACCGACAGACCCGUCGUUAACCACCAACAGCCAUCGUCACCAUCCAGCCGCCCCAACUUCAUCUUCUCUAAACCUAUCAGUUACACACAUGUGCAGAGAAACACACGGGAACACACACACACACGCAAGCACAAGCAGAAAACGAGGAAGACAGAAAAUAUUUCAAUUUCUUCGUUCAGUUUUUUUGCUUCAAACAACAGAGUCCGUUUGAAUUUGACUGCUAUUUCAGCUUGAUUCCGAGGCCCGAGGUUCGUCGAGUUCCGGCAAGCUGUUUUCGAUUUCGGUUCCGCUGGUUGUUGGGUUUUUAAAUAGUAAAACAGAUCCUUCAUUUGAGGUUCUCCCUUCAUCUCUGCUUCUUCUAUAUGAUCUGAUAUUUAUUUAAUUGAUCAUCUUAGCAAAGUUUUUAAUUCUAUAUUUGAUUUAAUUGCUCUUAAUGCUUUAACUGCUUUUAUACCCGAAGGUCUAUGUUAUCUUUUUAUACAUGUUGAUUUCAUAUUUUUGAGUAGGGCUAAAUGGUUCAAGUGAACACAGUAGGAUCUUUUCAUUUUAAUUAGAUACAUAAGUAGAUGAAUGAGUUAUGUAAUAGUAGGCUGGAAAUUUAAAAGAAGGAAGUAUAAAAUAAAAUGAGCUUUCAUGCCGGCGGGAGGAUGAUUUCAAUCAUACUUCAAUUUAGAAUACGCUUCUUUGAGUUAUUAAUUCAUGCAUGCGGCGUGUUUAGAUUGUUAGGAGUAUGUUUUAGGCCGUAAACACUCGGUAGGCAAGCCUUAGGAUUUUUAUUUGAUUUUGGUUUCGAGGUAAGAGGUUGUCCCUUAGAUAAAUUCAUACGGGGAAUGCCCCGUGGACUUUGUAAAUAUUUAACCCGGGAAUGCCCCGAAGUAAAUAUAAAUGGAGUCGUGGCAUCAUCAAUGGAGGCGUAGUAUAAGCUCGGAAGACAUACAUUUAUUUAUUUUUCUCUUUUAGGACGGGACGACUUUGAGCCUCUUGUGUGUUUAUUUUUCCUUUUCUGUGUUUGUUACCUCAAUUGAAUAUUUUAAAAGCCAACUAGAUUGAGUACGCGACCAUGACUUUCACGGGACUUGGAGUGUGCCUAAAACCUUCUCCUUGAGUCAAAUGAACCUCCUUACCCGAAUUUCUGGUGCAGACUUAGUUUGGAGUCCGAAGUGUUUUAGAAGGAAAAUUAUUUUUGAAAAACCAAACGGUGAUAUGGCACACUGAAAUCAAAUGCCAGGUGGCGACCCUGAGUUAUUUCCUUUUGAACAAAUUUUUGUCACUUUCAAAAUUGAAAACCCUUUUUAAGCCUUUCUAAAAUCUUUUAUUUUAAUUUAAGAGAGUUUAGUAGAGGUUCUGUUCAAAAAAGGGGUGUGACAUCUCUGGCGACUCCGCUGGGGAAUUGUAUGUUCGAGCUAGUACUUGAUCUUGUUGGCUUUUUAGGAUGUUCAGUUGAGGUUUUUAUGUGUUUUGUUUGCUUUAUUUUGUUUAUCAUUUUAUUAUUUGCUAGUUGCUUAUUUGUUUUCAGUUUUUUCUUUAUGUGUUACUGCUUUAUAAAUUAUCAUCAUUUGCAUAACCAUAUGUCCUCUUUCUGCAACAAGUCUCAGAGCACGCGUCGCGUGCACAAACUCUUUGUUGAGACACCCUUAAUUUAGAAGGGGCCGUCGGACGUAUGGAGUGUAUGGAAAGCUUGAGCAGCCACUAUUGACCAUACGCUCCCCCGAAUUUCCUUGUUAGUGAACCCCAAACUUAUGUCAGCCUUAGGUCAUUUUUAUAUGCAUCAUGUCAUUUACACCUAGUAGGGCUCGGUCUCUGGUACUGUGUCCCUUUGUAGGGAGUUUGUCUAAAUUUUGUCAAAAUGAGCUUGUGGCCCAAAAUGGAAUCUAAUCAUCUUAUGUGCUAAAUGUUGCAUCUUUGAGGGUGAAAAGAUUAUUUAGCGGACCUAUGUUUGGGAAAGAAGGGUGAAAAAUGAAGAAAGUAGGGCCCAUUUGCAUUUUUCUUUCAUAGUUUUCCAAAAAUAAAAAAAAUAAGAAAAUCCAAAAAGAUUUUACACUUUUUUAUUAUUUUCUAAAAAUUCAAAAAGAGAAAAAAGAAAAUCCAAAAAGAUUUUACAUUUUCCAUCAUUUCUCAAAAAUACAAAAAAUAUGAUUUUUUUUCAAAUUAGUUGCAUUUUUUAAAGCUUUCUCCCAUGUCUAAUCUUCUCGAACUGAUUCUCGUCUUUUGGGACGAGAUACAUAGGCAACCCACAUAGGGUCCGGUCUUCCUAGUGAACUUUAGGUUCUUGAUUUUGCGGGGUCUUAGCAAUAUCUUGCAUGUUUAGCCACUUGCGGCCACAUCGGCCAUUCUUGCAAAAUGGGGUCAUUUUUGCAAAAGUGGUUCAAUAACUCAUGUCUUAGGAUGUUGAGUCCAUAACUAGGUGUCAUAUUACUUUAAGGUUUGUCCCUUUUUGAGUUUGUAUUUUAGCCACUUUCGGCCACAUAGGCUUAUGCAAAUUAAUUUUGGGUCAUGAUUAUUGUUUAUUAGAAUCCAUAUAAGACUUAGCGAGAUAUUUUCAUGUCUUUGAUUUCACCUUUGUUGAGUUUGCACUUGUAGCCAUUCUUGGCCACGUAGGUUAAUUUUUUAAAAAAUAGCUCAAUCGUAUCUUGCAUGCUUCUAAUAGGAGGUGUUGUGGCAUCGCAUAGUGUCUCGAGUCAUUAAAUCUGUUUGGUCUUAUUUUUUUCAUUCAGGUAUGAAUGCAUUUACCAGAGCUCGAGUAGGACAGAUACCCCAAGACCAUCGCAUUUGGGAAUUUAUUUGAAGAGACCUUUUAUAUUUUGAGUUUGUUUUCAUGUUUUCUUUUACUUUCUUGUAUUGUCUAGUAGUUUUGAGUCUUUUAUCUAGCAUAAGAGUUUGCCGAGUCUUUUGUCAUCGUACUUCCCAUUUGUAUAUGAAAAAUAGUCAUAAAUGAAAAUUCCAAAAGGAUUUUCAUUUUUAGUUUAUUUAUCCAAUACUUUUUCAGAAC
rnacentral:lncRNA from 1 species